GUUAAAGAGAGGGUGUGAAGUUUAUUAAUGAUGAUAUUUAUCAGCGGGUGGUGAAUCUGUGGGAUUCGUUGCCACAGACGGCGGUGGAGGCCAAGUAGCUACAUCACUACUAUCGGAGUGGAUUUCAAGAUUCAGACGGUCGAUGUUAAUGGGGAGAAGGUGAAGCUGCAGAUCUGUACAAUCACGUCUACGUAGCUACAUCACUACUAUCGGAGUGGAUUUUAAGAUUCAGACGGUCGAUGUUAAUGGGGAGAAGGUGAAGCUGCAGAUCCGUACAAUCACGUCUACGGUUUAGGAGCCGUUGCUGUGGACGGAGAGACGGGGACGUGAACGGACAUUGAGGGUG